rnacentral:rRNA from 1 species
GGAACUCUAAGGAGACCGCCGAUGACAAACCGGAGGAAGGUGGGGAUGAAGUCAAGUCAUCAUGGCCCUUACGGCCAGGGCUACACACGUACUACAAUGGUGGGGACAGAGGGAUGNGAUGCCGCGAGGCGGAGCCAAUCCCAGAAACCCCAUCUCAGUCCGGAUUGGAGUCUGCAACUCGACUCCAUGAAGUCGGAAUCGCUAGUAAUCGCAGAUCAGCAUUGCUGCGGUGAAUACGUUCCCGGGCCUUGUACACACCGCCCGUCACACCAUGGGAGUUUGUUGCACCAGAAGCAGGUAGCUUAACCUUCGGGAGGGCGCUUGCCACGGUGUGGCCGAUGACUGGGGUGAAGUCGUAACAAGGUAACCGUAA